rnacentral:lncRNA from 1 species
AUCCUCCAGCAGCGGGAUGUGAGCCACCUGCAAGGAGGGACACCAAUAAGGCGUCUGAUAAGAUAAGUCUUAUAAAAUAUAUAGGUUUAUGAUAAUUAAGACUGAGCUAACAGAUGAGAAAUCCUAGUCAUUGGCCAAGCAGCAUUUGAACCCAAUACAAGUUUCUUUGUAUUAAUUUGGGCCCUAACUCGGGCGGGCGGCUAGCAUAAAGCACACACAUGGCAGUGGGGCUCCACAGCUUUUGGUGGAAAGAUUUAUCGUAACACCUUUGGGGACAAGGGAGUGGAAUGUGGCAGUUUGAAAGAAAAUAGUCUCCACAGGGAAUGACACAAUUAGGAGGUGUGAUCUUGUUGGAGUAGGUGUGGCCUUGGAGGAAGUGUGCCAUUGUGGAGAGGGGCUUUGAGGUCUCAUAUAUGCUCAAGCUACUCCCAGUGAGACGGACCACUUCCCUGUUGCCUGUGAGUCAAGAUGUAAGAACUCUCAGCUCCUUUUCUAGCAUCAUGUCUGUCUGCAGGCUGCCUUGUCAUACCAUGAUGGUAAUGGACCAAACCUCUGAACUGAGACACUCUGCAGGAAGCUGUGUGCCUGGUCCAUGGUAGGCACUGUAAGAGAUAUGUGUGAGAGAGUACAUGUGACUGUUAUCACUGCAGACAAAGCUAUGGUGAGAAAUAUCAGUUGCUGGAAUGAUACAGAAGCUCUCUGGCUUUUGGCUGAGCAUAAAAACUACAUUUCCCAAUAUCCUUUGCAGGAAACUUCACCCAGGAGUUCACAACACUGGAGCUGCCUAUGUGGCCGAUUGCCAGAGUUGAGCACACAUGGUGCUGGCCAAAAAGGGGCUUAGCUUUCCCAGGAGAGACUAAGAGCAAGAAUUGGACAAGCAGAGAACAGUCUUCAAAUGAAUGUUUGGGACACAUUUGUCACAACAUUUUAUUAUAGAACAAUGACAUUCUGAUAUAUUUAGAUUCUUGUCAUUUUUUACUUAAUCUUUGUGUGUGUGUGUGUGUGUGUGUGUGUGUGUGUGUGUGUGUGUGUGUGUGUGUGUUUCAUGUCUGUUAAUAUAGACACCUAUGUUUCAUGAUAUGUAGAGGUCAGAAUUCAACCUGUUAUAAUGGUCCAGACUUUCCACUUGGUUUAAGGCUGGGUCUCUUGUCAUCUCCAUGGUAUGGACCAGUCUUAACUGUAGUGGAGACUCUGUGAAUUCCCCUCCCUUCUACCCAAAAGAACUCUGGGAUGGAAGAUGCCGUUGUCUGAUAUUGUGUGGAUAUCUGAACUCAGGUCCUUGUUCUGCAGUGAAACCUUUACCAAAUGAACUUCAGGGGAACUAGAGAGAAUUCUGGG